UACCAGCACCCCGAGUGGUCGGGACGUUUGAUUGGGCCUAAAGCAUCCGUAGCCGGUUCUACAAGUCUUCCGUUAAAUCCAACUGCUUAACAGGUGGGCUGCGGAAGAUACUAGUAGAGCUAGGAGGCGGGAGAGGCAAGCGGUACUCGAUGGGUAGGGGUAAAAGUCCGUUGAUCCAUUGAAGACCACCAGUGGCGAAGGCGGCUUGCCAGAACGCGCUACGACGGUGAGGGAGUGAAAGCUGGGGGAGCAAACCGGAUUAGAUAACCCUGGAGUCCGAGA
rnacentral:rRNA from 1 species